rnacentral:rRNA from 1 species
UACGAUGGGAGGGCUAGCGUUGUCCGGAAUACUGGGCGUAAAGGGUGCGUAGGCGGGUCUUUAAGUCAGGGGUGAAAUCCUGGAGCUCAACUCCAGAACUGCCUUUGAUACUGAAGAUCUUGAGUUCGGGAGAGGUGAGUGGAACUGCGAGUGUAGAGGUGAAAUUCGUAGAUAUUCGCAAGAACACCAGUGGCGAAGGCGGCUCACUGGCCCGAUACUGACGCUGAGGCACGAAAGCGUGGGGAGCAAACAGGG